AAUCCCUGACGGCAAGUCCACCUAUGGCCGCUGCACAAUAAAAGGAUCCUCUGGUGGCUCUGCUACUGGAGCGGCAGCAAUGGUGGAUACGAAGGGGAUGACGAGCCUUCGUCUGCUGUUGAUCUCGUUGGCCUUGGCUCACCUUAUCGCUGCAUCUCAUGCAGUUCCAUCGACAAGGGAUGGAAGAAUGCUGAGAGGAUGCAGAAGCGUUGGUGAUGCGGUUCAGGUUAUCAACGAGGAUGAAGAGGCCAAAAUCCAGAGGAUGGACAUAGAGAUCAAUGACUAUCCAGGAUCGGGUGCUAAUGACCGCCACACUCCAAAGCCACCAGAAUAGAUCGGCGAUGUCGAUGAUCAUAUUCACAAGUCGAAUCUUCUUGGCUUCCUUUGACAUUUGCCAUUAGAUGGAUUCUUGCAAUUGCCAUAUAUUAUACUGAAUGAAUAAAUUUGGAUACUUCAAUUU